rnacentral:piRNA from 1 species
UCACUUCUUGGUCCCAACAAUCUAUGGC